rnacentral:rRNA from 1 species
AGAGUUUGAUCCUGGCUCAGGAUGAACGCUAGCUACAGGCUUAACACAUGCAAGUCGAGGGGCAGCAUGGUCUUAGCUUGCUAAGGCCGAUGGCGACCGGCGCACGGGUGAGUAACACGUAUCCAACCUGCCGUCUACUCUUGGACAGCCUUCUGAAAGGAAGAUUAAUACAAGAUGGCAUCAUGAGUCCGCAUGUUCACAUGAUUAAAGGUAUUCCGGUAGACGAUGGGGAUGCGUUCCAUUAGAUAGUAGGCGGGGUAACGGCCCACCUAGUCUUCGAUGGAUAGGGGUUCUGAGAGGAAGGUCCCCCACAUUGGAACUGAGACACGGUCCAAACUCCUACGGGAGGCAGCAGUGAGGAAUAUUGGUCAAUGGGCGAGAGCCUGAACCAGCCAAGUAGCGUGAAGGACGACUGCCCUAUGGGUUGUAAACUUCUUUUAUAAAGGAAUAAAGUCGGGUAUGGAUACCCGUUUGCAUGUACUUUAUGAAUAAGGAUCGGCUAACUCCGUGCCAGCAGCCGCGGUAAUACGGAGGAUCCGAGCGUUAUCCGGAUUUAUUGGGUUUAAAGGGAGCGUAGAUGGAUGUUUAAGUCAGUUGUGAAAGUUUGCGGCUCAACCGUAAAAUUGCAGUUGAUACUGGAUAUCUUGAGUGCAGUUGAGGCAGGCGGAAUUCAUGGUGUAGCGGUGAAAUGCUUAGAUAUCACGAAGAACUCCGAUUGCGAAGGCAGCCUGCUAAGCUGCAACUGACAUUGAGGCUCGAAAGUGUGGGUAUCAAACAGGAUUAGAUACCCUGGUAGUCCACACGGUAAACGAUGAAUACUCGCUGUUUGCGAUAUACAGCAAGCGGCCAAGAGAAAAGCGUUAAGUAUUCCACAUGGGGAGUACGCCGGCAACGGUGAAAACUCAAAGGAAUUGACGGGGGCCCGCACAAGCGGAGGAACAUGUGGGUUUAAUUCGAUGAUACGCGAGGAACCUUACCCGGGCUUAAAUUGCAGAUGAAUUACGGUGAAAGCCGUAAGCCGCAAGGCAUCAGUGAAGGUGCUGCAUGGUUGUCGUCAGCUCGUGCCGUGAGGUGUCGGCUUAAGUGCCCUAACGAGCGCAACCCUUGUUGUCAGUUACUAACAGGUUCCGCUGAGGACUCUGACAAGACUGCCAUCGUAAGAUGUGAGGAAGGUGGGGAUGACGUCAAAUCAGCACGGCCCUUACGUCCGGGGCUACACACGUGUUACAAUGGGGGGUACAGAGGGCCGCUACCACGCGAGUGGAUGCCAAUCCCCAAAACCUCUCUCAGUUCGGACUGGAGUCUGCAACCCGACUCCACGAAGCUGGAUUCGCUAGUAAUCGCGCAUCAGCCACGGCGCGGUGAAUACGUUCCCGGGCCUUGCACACACCGCCCGUCA